GCGCCCAUAGCUCAGUUGGAUAGAGCACUUGGCUUCGAACCAAGGGGUCGGGAGUUCGAAUCUCUCUGGGCGCA
rnacentral:tRNA from 2 species